rnacentral:lncRNA from 1 species
GGACAUUUCGCAAGGACCUGUACAGCUGUGUCGGGCCCGGAUUGUAAAUUGGCCCUAAUACCUGCAGGGAGCUUGUCACGCUGAGUUGGCUUUGUCCGCUCGAUUGACCAAUGCGUACGCCUUGUUUUAUCCUUGUUUUAUCCUUGAUUUGACGAAAAAAUUCCCUGCAAACCUUAAACGACAGACGUCUGCAAAAGAUUGCAGUUCUUGAAACAAAGUUACCUCUGAUCCGAGCAGAAGCGUUCGCUUACUCAAUGGCAGAAAAAAUGAUGACCUUUCACACAGUCUACAUUCGUUCUGUCAUAACAGCGGCAGGCCGGCAAAUAAAAUCCUGACAUUCCACAGGGCACACUCGCUUGGCGGAAAAAAGCCACCGGGGGCUCUCUUUGCGUGUUCCUUCACCUGGUCAAACCGCUUUGAGGGGGGACCUUUCGAGUAGUUUUCGGCGUCAGAACAGACUCUUCCAGCGACGGGUGGGCAGGCCUUCCACAGGCGCGCGCAGCUCUACUGGAGCAAAAGAGGCUUGGC